GUGAAUCAUCGAAUCUUUGAACGCACCUUGCGCCUCUUGGUAUUCCGAGGGGCAUGCCUGUUUGAGUGUCAUUGAAUCCUCAAAAGAAAAGCUUUUAACAGUUUUCUCUUUUGGAAUUGGAGUGUGCUGGCCUUCUGUUUAGAGAAGCCCAGCUCCUCUGAAAUGCAUUAGCGAUGUGACAUCUGCAUGCCACCAUGCUUUCCUGGGCAUUGAUAGUAUCUUCAUGCCUGGGCGUGUUGUGCAGCUGCGGAAAGUUUUGCUCGCUCAUAACAUGAUGGGCUCUGCCCAUCCUUUGACCAAUUUAACCUCAAAUCAGGUAGGAUUACCCGCUGAACUUAAGCAUAUCAAUAAGCGGAGGA
rnacentral:misc_RNA from 1 species